UACGUAGGGGGCAAGCGUUGUCCGGAUUUAUUGGGCGUAAAGAGCGUGUAGGCGGCUAGACAAGUCUGCUGUGAAAAACUUGAGGCCUCAAACCUCGGAUGCCGGUGGAUACUGUCGGGCUUGAGUACGGAAGAGGCGAAGUGGAAUUCCUGGUGUAGCGGUGAAAUGCGCAGAUAUCAGGAGGAACACCAAUGGCGAAGGCAGCUCUGGGACGGUAUGACGCUGAGACGCGAAACGUGGGGAGCAAACAGG
rnacentral:rRNA from 1 species